CGACGUUAUACUCUAGAGCCUUCAUUUAAGUAGUUGAUCUUUUAAAUUUAGACCGGUAAUCGCUCCUACCUGCCCCCAAAUUUCAAAUAAUUUAAUGGACCCACGUAAAACCCUAAUAUUAUACGUCACAGCUUGCAUUAGUUGAUUAUUAUUUUUUAUAAUUACAAGUUAGUUACCACUAAACCCUCGAUGAAACCUUGGAAAUUCCAGUCUCACUAGACAAAACAAUCCAUAGAUUUGACGGAGUUUUCGAUCCGAGACGACCCAAAAUCCAUCGAUAAUUCCCACCUUAAGCUUGCUGCUCAAAACCCAGUUGCUGUAUUGCUACUAAAUCCUGAUCUUUCAACUUUGACGUUACGUUCUUUGAUCUGCAGAAACUUUCACCAGUAAUGGCAGUUUCUAGCGAUUCAAUCCUCAGAUUCCACCAGAAAAUCUUUGCAAAUCACCCAAUUCUUGAAUUAGAGAAUGGUGUUUCUAGAAUAGCUGUGGGUGCUGGUGGGGUUUCUUGCAGUACAAGGAAACUUAGAAGUAAGGCCAGGAUUGGAGCGAAAGCAGUGGCAGAGGCUCGUGUUAAGGGGUUAGAGAGUUUUAAGGUGAAUUUGGACUUGGGAUUGGAUGCUGUGGCCGAGAAGGAGUUGAGAGAAAAAGGGUUCUUAGGGAUGAGGAAGACGAAGUUGGUGUGUACCAUAGGACCGGCGUGUUGCUCAUUGGAGGAUUUGGAGAGAUUGGCUAGAGGAGGGAUGAAUGUGGCUAGGCUUAAUAUGUGUCAUAACACGAAAGAGUGGCACAGAGAUGUUAUUAAGAAGAUCAAGAGGUUAAAUGAGGAAAAGGGGUUUUGUGUUUCAGUGAUGAUUGAUACUGAAGGAAGCCAGAUUCAUGUGGUUGAUCAUGGAGCUCCCUCCUCUCUCAAAGCAGAGGAAGGUUCAGUUUGGGUAUUUACAGCCCAAAAAUUUGAAGGUUCACUUCCAUUUACCAUUCGAGCAAACUAUGAAGGGUUCUCUGAAGGCAUUAUGGUAGGCGAUGAACUGAUUAUUGAUGGAGGAAUGGCAAGCUUUCAAGUUGUUGAAAGGAUGGGAAAUGAUUUGCGUUGUAAGUGCACAGAUCCUGGUCUACUCCUACCCCGAGCCAAAUUGAGCUUCUGGAGGGAUGGGAAGCUCUCCCAUCAAGGUCUCCCAACUAUAUCAGAAAAGGUUGAAUCAUGCUUAUUCUAUUCUGGCAAUAAUUUCCCCUCAUUCUCCUUUCGUAAAUCCAUUUUCUUUGGCUAGAGAAUCCAAAAGUAGGAUAUUUUGGUCUUAAGGAUUACUUUUUCUGUAUCUGCUCUGAUGAGAUUUUUCUUUCUUGUUAUUUCUUUUGCUGGCUUGCCUUGAAAUACAAAUUCAGAAAAUUGGAUGCCUUUAAAUUAGGUUGUUUUAGUAAAAACAUCAAGAGUCAAAAUCCCUAAAAACCAUUAAAAGUCAAUAUCCCCUGCAAAAUAGAAAGCUAUUGUUAACUCUUCUUGUUUCUAGGGAUUUUCUAAGGGAAGAAAGGAAUUGCCUAUUGAUUUAGCUUAUUAGAUUUUAAAUGUAAUGUGCAUUUGGGUUCACUUUGCUCUGUCAUGUGGGGCUGAACCACAGCUUUUGGAGGAUGAAAAUGCAGCUAUCUUCCUAAGCAGUCAUCUACAAGAACUGCUAUUUGGCUCUUUGCCAGGGGUAGAGCCAAAAAAAUUUUCUUGAAGGGGCCAAUGGUGUAUGUAAAAUUAAUUUGAGAAAUGGUUAAUUACACUCAUUGUUUAUAUAUUUUGAUGGGUUCAUGUUAUAUAUUCAAAAAAUGACAUAAUAAAGUGUAGUUAAGUGAGAAAAUUUUAUGUUAAAAAAAAGUUAGAAAUUUUUUUUAAGGGUGCCAAUGCUAUAAAUAGAUAAGCAGGCCAAACAGUCUUAAAUAGGUAAGCAGGAUAGUGUUAGCAGACAAUAUUAAACAUCUGACCAAUUUCUUCCCCUGCACAUAACUCAUAUUUUCCACUUUGCAGGACUGGGCAGACAUUGAUUUUGGAAUUUCUGAAGGUGUUGAUUUUGUUGCUGUGUCAUUUGUUAAUGAUGCCGAGCCUAUCAAGCAUCUGAAGAACCAUCUCUCAACCAAGGCAUCAAGAUCAAUAAGAGUAUUGUCAAAGAUUGAGAGCUUGGAGUCUCUUCGGAAACUGGAAGAGAUUGUAGAGGCUUCUGAUGGAAUUAUGGUGGCUCGUGGUGACCUUGGAGUAGAAGUUCCUCUUGAACAGAUUCCAGCAGUCCAAGAGGAGAUAACCCGUAUUUGCAGGCAGCUGAACAAGCCAGUGAUUAUAGCUUCUCAACUUCUUGAGUCGAUGGUUGAAUAUCCAACCCCAACGCGUGCAGAGGUUGCAGAUGUAUCUGAAGCAGUUAGGCAAUCUGCUGAUGCAAUGAUGUUGUCUGGUGAGUCAGCUAUUGGAUCAUAUGGAGAGAAAGCUCUUUCUGUCUUGCGGAUGGUCAGCAAUCGAAUGGAACUGCAGUGUCAUGAGGAAAACCGUCAAAAUGCUCUCCAUCAGCCUUGUCUUGGGGUUUCAUUGCCUGAUCGUAUAUCUGAAGAGAUAUGCAAUUCUGCUGUAGAAAUGGGUAAUUGACUUUUUUCUUACACCAUUAUAUUAUUUAAUGUUGAUUUUCUGAAAGCAGUUAAUUGGCAUAAUUCCAUAAUUAAUAAAAGUUUCUGCUAGGCGCAUUUAUUCAAUUCCAUAUUAUCUUUUGCACACACAAUGAAAUAAAAUUUUCAAAUGUAUAUUAAACAGUAUAUGAAUCAGUUGAAAACAAUCAUUAGUGCAAUCACAUACACACACAAUGAACGUGUGAUUUGCUGUGCUAGAUCAUUAGUGCAACCUAUAAGAAGAACUGUAAACUUUCAUUAUUUACACUCAAAACCUUGGAAAAGGCAAGGGAAUUAACUGCUAUUGAUCACCAAACAUGCCUAUUGAUAUGCUGCUAACCUUACAUAUUAUACUUGGGUGUUUUAACUGCAGCUAACAACCUUGGUAUAGAUGCUAUCUUUGUCUACACAAAGCAUGGAGAGAUGGCAUCACUCCUUUCUCGCAACCGUCCAAACCCUCCUAUAUUUGCAUUUACAGAUGACAAUGAUGCUCGUAUGGCAUUGAAUUUGCAGUGGGGAGUUAUCCCCAUCCUUGUAGAUUUGUCAGAUGACAUGGAAUCCAACAUAUCCAAAACCACUGAUCUUAUAAAAUCUAAAGGCAUGAUGAAAGAUGGAAGCUCUGUCUUGAUAGUCUCAGAUCUCACUCCAUCUUGUGCAACCCGAACUGCCUUCCAGUCAAUCCAGGUGAAGACCAUUGUGUAGGGAAAUGCUUAUCUGAAAAUGUUCACUUCUCA
rnacentral:misc_RNA from 1 species